GGAAUGUGAAUCUCUGCUGCAUUAUGGUGCUUUAGAAAGAAAUAAGAAGGCACUUUUCAGCAACUACCUUAGUAUCUCCCUGGAGAAACCCAAGCUAUGACAGCAGGUACCAGAAUUGGCCCAAGAAAGUAGACCUUCCAAAUGGAUUUUGCAGCUGGAUCACCUGUGGGCAUAUGGGAAAUAACUGAGUCCUUUGGAGCUGAAAAUGAAAAACUGAGUAGCUGGUGGAAGAAGCGAGAUGGGUUUGGAACUCACAGGCUAUGUUUCUGGAUGCAUCACAUUUGCAAGAGGGAAGUUUUGGUGUCCCUGUGGGUAUAUUAGCACUCCUUUACUCCAUUUCUCUGUAGCUACUCAAGCAAGUGACAAGUAAGUAUGUUGAGACCACAUGUGACAUAUAAAUUACAAGUUCUCCUGCCCCUCUAAAAGUUUAUUCAGCAUCAACCUUUGCACCAACACACUAAGGCAUAAUAGCUGAUAAUUUAUGAGUGUAAUUUGAAGGAAGCAAUUCUGUUUUGUGAUUAUGGUAGUAAAUAAAAGAUUCAAAUCCUCAUUGACACACCAUGAAAUUCAGCUUUACUUUUUUUUUUUUAACCUUGAUAUUGUUUAUGGAAAGAAGGCUGCAGAGUCCAAGAAAGGUGACAGAUAUGAAGAAAUGCAGUGGUUGCAAAGGACAAAGACAAUGGCAACACAAAUAAAAGAAAUUAUGAGAAGGAAAUAAAUAUUAAAAAAAAAACCCAAACGUUUGUUGAUGUAAACUGAAAAUAAAUUUGGAAUGAGCUGUGUGCACUUGGAAAUGAGAAGCUCUGUCCUGCACCAUGAAGGGCUUUGUGUGCAUCCAUGGGUUGCUUCUGCAUGCAGAAUGAGACUGGAACAAAAAAGAACCAUUUAAAACACAGGAUCCAGGUGAUUCAGGAUUUUAAAUUGAAGAUUGAUCAUACAAGCUGGAAGACGUCCCAUGACACUUUAUUUGAAAUUGGAACAUCAGAAUUUGGUUGGGUCUAUCUUUUACUAACUCUGUACCAUGAAAAAAUUAUUUAAUAUUUCUGAACUGUGUAAAGAAUAAAAUUAGAUUAUGAAUUCAA
rnacentral:lncRNA from 1 species